GAUGAACGCUGGCGGCGUGCUUAACACAUGCAAGUCGAACGGUGAAGCUCCAGCUUGCUGGCGUGGAUCAGUGGCGAACGGGUGAGUAACACGUGAGCAACAUGCCCCUGACUCUGGGAUAACAGCCGGAAACGGCUGCUCAUACCCGAUAUGAACUAUGAACGCAUGUUGUUUGGUGGGAAAGGAUUUUCGGUUGGGGAUGGGCUGUUGGGCUAUCGGCUUGUUAGUGAGGUAAUGGCUGACCAAGGCGUCGACGGGUAGCCGGCCUGAGAGGUUGACCGGCGACACGGGGACUGAGAGACGGCCCAGAAUGCUACGUGAGGCAGCAGUGGGAAAUAUGGCAGAGUGGGGGAAAGCGUGAGGCAGAAACGCCGCGAGAGGGAAGACGGCCUACGGGGUGUAAACCUCUUUGAGCAGGGAAGAAGAGGGAUUGACGGUACCUGCAGAGAAAGCGCCGGCUAACUACGUG
rnacentral:rRNA from 1 species